rnacentral:rRNA from 1 species
AGCGAACGCUAGCGGCAGGCUUAACACAUGCAAGUCGAGCGCCAGGUUUCGGCCUGGAGCGGCGAACGGGUGAGUAACACGUAGGUCACGUACCCUAUGGUGGGGAAUACCCCGGGGAAACUCGGAUCAAUGCCCCAUAUGUCCGAAAGGAUGAAGGCGCUUCGGCGCGCCAGAGGAUCGGCCUGCGGCCCAUUAUUUAAUCCUAGUUGGUGAGGUAACGGCUCACCAAGGGUACGAUGGGUAGCUGGUCUGAGAGGACGAUCAGCCACACUGGAACUGAGAUACGGUCCAGACUCCUACGGGAGGCAGCAGUGGGGAAUAUUGGACAAUGGGCGAAAGCCUGAUCCAGCCAUGCCGCGUGAGUGAUGAAGGCCUUCGGGUUGUAAAGCUCUGUCGUGGGGGAAGAAGUUCUGACGGUACCCCACAAGAAAGCACCGGCUAACUCCGUGCCAGCCGCCGCCGUAAAAC